UACAGAGGUGCAAGCGUUGUUCGGAAUUAUUGGCGUAAAGGCGCGUAGGCGGUGCGGUAAGUCUGCGGUGAAUCCCCGGCUCAACCGGGAACGGCACCGAUACGACUGGCCUGGAGGGAGUAGGGGAGCCUGGAACUUCCGGUGGAGCGGUGAAUGUGUUGAUAUUGGAAGGAACGCCGGUGGCGAAAGCGACACACUGGACCU
rnacentral:rRNA from 1 species